rnacentral:rRNA from 1 species
ACACGUGGUAUCCUGUCUGAAUAUGGGGGGACCAUCCUCCAAGGCUAAAUACUCCUGACUGACCGAUAGUGAACCAGUACCGUGAGGGAAAGGCGAAAAAGAACCCCGGCGAGGGGAGUGAAAAAGAACCUGAAACCGUGUACGUACAAGCAGUGGGAGCACCUUCGGGUGUGACUGCGUACCUUUUGUAUAAUGGGUCAGCGACUUAUAUUCUGUAGCAAGGUUAACCGUAUAGGGGAGCCGCAGGGAAACCGAGUCUUAACUGGGCG